CGAAGGAGCGGGCUUUGCAUAGCCCGAAGCCCACGCUGUUUUCUCUUUGGUAAUUUAGUACUAUCCACAUCUCCUUCGGCUUUCUCUCUUCUCCUGCAAAACUGUAUCUAUAGCCUGAUCAGAGCCUCCCCAUGGCAGAAUCUAGAGGAAAUGAAGCCCCAACCUCUACUGCUGAUGCAAAAGAUGUAAAAGCACCAAAUUUGAUAGAGCGAGCAAAGGAAGAGAUAGAGGCUAUGAUUCACCACGACAAAAAACCUCAGCAUCACAAGGAAACUCACGGAACUAGUGAUGACAUUGAUGAGAGCACCCCAGUUGAUGAAGUUAAAGGACCAAAUGUAUUUGAACGAGUCAAGGAAGAGAUUGAGGCUGUUGUUCAAAGUAUUCACCCUAAGAAAUGAUCCAACUCUUGUUAAAUUAAUUGUUCUCAAUGUCAUCAUAUUUACUAACAAUGUUGGUUGGUUUCCCUGUUUCCUUCAGAUGUACAAUAGCUAAUUGACAUAUAUAAUAGUACUGAUUUCUUGGUCUUUUCA